GGCGAACGGGUGAGUAACGCGUGAAGGAACCUGCCUUCGACAGGGGGAUAACACACCCAACGGGGUGCUAAUACCGCAUGAGACCACGGGGUCGCAUGGCCCUGAGGUCAAAGGUGGCCUCUAUUUAUAAGCUACCGGUCGAAGAUGGCUUCGCGUCCCAUUAGCUAGUUGGCGGUGUAACGGACCACCAAGGCGACGAUGGUAGCUGGUCUGAGAGGAUGGUCAGCCACACUGGGACUGAGAUACGGCCCAGACUCCUACGGGAGGCAGCAGUCGAGAGGCUUCGGCAAUGGGGGCAACCCUGACCGAGCGACGCCGCGUGAGGGAUGAAGGCCCUUGGGUUGUAAACCUCUUUUGUUGGGGAAGAAAUGCGAUCAGGUGAACAAUCUGGUCGUUUGACGGUACCCGACGAAUAAGCUCCGGCUAACUCCG
rnacentral:rRNA from 1 species